ACCAGACUCCUACGGGAGGCAGCAGUGGGGAAUAUUGGGCAAUGGCCGCAAGUCUGACCCAGCAACGCCGCGUGAAGGAAGAAGGCUUUCGGGUUGUAAACUUCUUUUAAGGGGGAAGAGCAGAAGACGGUACCCCUUGAAUAAGCCACGGCUAACUACGUGCCAGCAGCCGCGGUAAUACGUAGGUGGCAAGCGUUGUCCGGAUUUACUGGGUGUAUAGGGCGUGCAGCCGGGCCGACAAGUCAGAUGUGAAAUCCACGGGCUUAACCCGCGAACUGCAUUUGAAACUAUUGGUCUUGAGUACCGGAGAGGUCAUCGGAAUUCCUUGUGUAGCGGUGAAAUGCGUAGAUAUAAGGAAGAACACCAGUGGCGAAGGCGGAUGACUGGACGGCAACUGACGGUGAGGCGCGAAAGCGUGGGGAGCAAACAGGAUUAGAUACCCUGGUA
rnacentral:rRNA from 1 species